CGGCUGUAGCGCGGUGGUCCCACCUGACCCCAUGCCGAACUCAGAAGUGAAACGCCGUAGCGCCGAUGGUAGUGUGGGGCCUCCCCAUGCGAGAGUAGGGAACUGCCAGGC
rnacentral:rRNA from 1 species